AUGGGAAGGAGAGAUGGAGGCUGAGGGCCUCGCCAGGACCACUCCCAUCUGCCUUCACCUGUGAGUCUGGGAAGGUCAGACACACGGCAAAGAUCCCAGCUCCUUCCUCUCCUCACAUCCAGCGUUUAAGUGUAUCUGAAAGUUGGCAAAAUGCCAGAGUCCAGUGUAACUCUGCCAAAGAAGAAGUACAGAGCAUAAAAGAUGAGGAUGUCUGGACCUGAGGAUACACUUCGGAUCUGACAAUAUGUGGAAACUUUUUAUUGGUUCCAUACACGAGUUGUCAUGGCUCUAUCAGGCAUUUGUUUCCCACCUUUGGAACAAGAUUAAAAAGCCCUGGUGGUCCUGCUUCUUUCUGUAUGUACAGAACAAACAGCGACUCAUUGUGUGGCUUACGUGUCCGGACAAAAUUUGAAGAGAGAUCAGAUGGGGAAGAGCAACUCCAAGAAGCUCAAUGACUUUCUCAAAGUCACCUGAAAAGCUGGGUUCCAUCCUGAGCUGCCACUGUCCUCACUUCAUCUAAUGGGGCUGAGAAAACUCAUCCACAUUCCAUGGUUUCAACUUCUACAAAAUUAUGCUGGUGACUUCAGCCUGGAUAACCCUGUAAACUUCAGACACGUAUAUCCAACAAUGGCCAACUGGAUGUCUCCUCCUGCUGAUGACAAAGCUCUGGGUUCAUCACCAACACGAUGACUCUUCCUUCUGUAAUCUCUGUCUAUUGACGUCUCCACCUUAAGCCCAGGGACAAAGAUUGUCAGAUUCAAAAAAUAUAUAUAUAUUUAUAAGUUUGCGUCAAAUAUUGCAUGGGACAUCCUUAUACUAAAAAACAUACAUUCCUUGUUUAUCUUACAUGCAGGCAUCACUGGGUGUCUUCUAUCUGACGCGACAGCUCCACUGGAGUGCCCACCUCGAAUUCUCCCUCAUCCUCACGUCCUCAGCAUCAAUCAACUCCUGCUGAUCUCACCUCCUGGAUGUUUCUAGAAAACGCUUCCUCUUGUCUGUCUUCACUCUUACAGCUGCCGCCCCAGUUCAGGCCCCACCAUCUCCAGUGUGGACAAUCGUCUCCAACAUGUUUUUCCUGCUUCUUGCACCGCUGGUUCCUCCAGACUUCUGCCAGAAAGGCCCUUCCCCAUCACAGAGCGACUGAGCCAGGCCCUUUAUCGAAAGCUCUUCAGUGCCUGCCCCCCACCCCGACCCCUGCAGCUGCACACACAUCAGUCACCCACUUUCAAAAACAGACGACAACACGGCCAGGACCCAGUCCAAUUCAGUCAGGACCUUUUGUCGCGGGACCUGCACACUGAUCCGUCUGUAAAGCUCCCUGGGGUGACUCUAACGUGGAACAGAUCUGAUGCUGUACAGACCCCUCCAUCCCCGGGCCUGAAGCCGCCACCAGCCCCUGCCCUGGCUGCCCACUGUUUACACCGCAGGACAGGCUGAACUCUGGUUCUUCCAACUCACGGGCUGGUCCUCCUCCCCAUUCCCUUUCCCUCUGCAUGGAAUGUCCCACCUUCCUCGGACCUCCUAACUUUCAUUCAGGUUUAAAACUCAGCUCAGAGGUCAUUUCUUCUAUGAAAACCUUCCAUGCCACGGACUCCACCACCUGCCCUCGGAUCAGCUCGGGAGAAACCCUUGUUCUGUGCCAUCCACACACACUCUGCUCCCAGCCUGUCCUGCCUUUGACACCAGUGUCUGUGUCUUUGCUCGCUUUUGUGUGUCCGGGACCAGGCAUUGCCUGACAAUGCAUUUGAAUGAAUGAAUGAACAAACAAACAGCAUGGCAGAGCCAAGAUUCUAACCCAGUCUCUUUAACAUUGUCUGGGCAUCCUCAGACAAUGUAGUAAAAGGUGGUUUACCUUCUAAUGAGUUGGGGUUCCACACUUUUGUCUACAAUAGAGAGCAUGGAUGGCUUGCUUUCAGAAGCAUGGACCCGAAGCCAGUCCCCGGACACACCAGGCCCCUUCCCGCCUUCACACCGACGCACACACAGUUUGCCCUCAGCCACAAAUGCCCUUCUCUCUGCCCUCUCUACAGAUGCCCCAGGCAUCCUUCAGCAUUCAGCCAAAAUACUGUCAUCUUGGGGAAGACUUUGAGGUUUCCCCACCCCUCUAAACCGUCACCAGUCCCGUGCUCUCUAUCUCAGUAACAUUUUGUACACACUUUAACCGCAGUCCUAAUCGUUUGGGACUGAGGUUGUUCAAAGGUCUGU